AAUAUCUCUUCGCAACGACGUCGUUUAAGUGGUGAAAGUCGUGGCGGUCAGAAUUCAAGAGAGAACAGUUGUUCCUUAGCCACCACGACCUUGGAUAACUCGAAAGACAAAUUAGAAAGGAAAGGAAAUUAGAGAUUGGUGUAACCUGAAACAACUAAAAUUUGAUUCAGAAAUUUCGCCAUGAAAUCCAUCUUCGUCCUCUUUCUCUUCUCAGCCCUUGUUUCUGUUUCGACCCAAUCCACUGAUUCAAAAGGCCCAACAAUUCCACCGUCCUCUGCCCACGCUCGAUUACUGGAAUUAAGUCCACCGGCGAGGAUUCGGUGUUCGAGGUGGGGAUGAUCACCGCUAAGUAUCCAUCCAAGAGUUUCAACGACAGCCCUGUGUGUGAAGAGCGUCUGUCGGCUUCGUAACAGCUUCGGGUUUCUUCAAUUCACUGUAUUUCUGCUUCUUUUAAUGCCUUUCAUUCACUUCAAGCAUAGAUAUGAUAUGGACUUACUGGAUAAUGCAUAUCAUAUUAUCAUCAAUCUAUGCUGCCUGUGCAUCCGCCUGCUAUUUGUAUAUAUUACUUCUGCUUAACUCUUAGCUCUGGAUUAACACUCUAUUUGAAUCAUAUUGGUUUGUUUAGUGCUUGA